rnacentral:rRNA from 1 species
GACGAACGCUGGCGGCGUGCCUAAUACAUGCAAGUCGAACGGUUUAGUUCCAAGAGGCUUGCCUUUUGGAACUAGACAGUGGCGGACGGGUGAGUAACACGUAGGCAACCUACCUGUCAAACCGGGAUAACCUCGGGAAACCGAAGCUAAACCCGGAUAAGCUCCUUUUUCGCAUGAGGGGGGAGUGAAAAGGUGCGACUUGUUGACAGAUGGGCCUGCGGCGCAUUAGCUAGUAGGUAGGGUAACGGCCUACCUAGGCGAUGAUGCGUAGCCGACCUGAGAGGGCGUACGGCCACACUGGGACUGAGAUACGGCCCAGACUCCUACGGGAGGCAGCAGUAGGGAAUCUUCGGCAAUGGGCGAAAGCCUGACCGAGCAACGCCGCGUGAGUGAGGAAGGCCUUCGGGUUGUAAAACUCUGUUGUUUGGGAAGAAGGGAAAGGGUAGGACCCUUUGGUGACGGUACCAAACGAGAAAGCCCCGGCUAACUACGUG